rnacentral:SRP_RNA from 1 species
GCCAGGUGUGGUGGCACGCGCCUGUAGUCCCAGCUACUCGGGAGGCUGAGGCAGAAGAAUCGCUUGAACCCAGGAGGUGGAGGUUGCAGUGAGCCGAGAUCAAGCCACUGCACUUCCAGCCUGGGUGACAGAGUGAGACUCCGUCUCAA